UACGGGGGGAGCAAGCGUUGUUCGGAUUUACUGGGCGUAAAGGGCGCGUAGGCGGCGCGACAAGUCACUUGUGAAAUCUCUGGGCUCAACCCAGAACGGUCAAGUGAUACUGUCGUGCUAGAGUGCGGAAGGGGCAACUGGAAUUCUUGGUGUAGCGGUGAAAUGCGUAGAUAUCAGGAGGAACACCGGUGGCGAAGGCGGGUCUCUGGGCAACAACUGACGCUGAGGGGCGAAAGCGUGGGGAGCGAACAGG
rnacentral:rRNA from 1 species